CGUCUCCUCCAUGUCUCCUCCUGAUAUGGAUUCAGCCCGCCAACUUAGGUGGGCUUUUUCUU
rnacentral:ncRNA from 2 species